rnacentral:rRNA from 1 species
AGAAUGAACGUUGGCGGCGUGGAUUAGGCAUGCAAGUCGAACGGGCCGCAAGGCCAGUGGCGCAAGGGUGAGUAAGGCGACGGUAACCAACCCCGCAGUUGGGCAUAGCCGAGGGAAACUUCGGGUAAUUCCCAGCGACGCGGCGGCCCGGCAUCGGGCUGCCGCCAAAGGUUUACUGCUGUGGGACGGGCCGUUGUGGUAUUAGCUUGUUGGCGGGGUGACGGCCCACCAAGGCUGCGAUGCCUACCGGGCGUGCGAGCGUGGCCCGGCACACUGGGACUGAGACACUGCCCAGACUCCUACGGGAGGCUGCAGUCGAGAAUCUUCGGCAAUGGGCGCAAGCCUGACCGAGCGACGCCGCGUGGAGGAUGGAAGGCCUUCGGGUUGUAAACUCCUGGUCGGAGGGGGAGGAAGGCGCAAGCUUGACCGAUCCCGUGGAGGAGCACGGGCUAAGUUCGUGCCAGCAGCCGC